UACGGAGGGAGCUAGCGUUGUUCGGAAUUACUGGGCGUAAAGCGUGCGUAGGUGGUUUGUUAAGUCUGAUGUGAAAGCCCUGGGCUCAACCUGGGAAUUGCAUUGGAUACUGGCAAGCUAGAGUGCGGUAGAGGAUGGCGGAAUUCCCGGUGUAGCAGUGAAAUGCGUAGAGAUCGGGAGGAACAUCUGUGGCGAAGGCGGCCAUCUGGACCAGCACUGACACUGAGGCACGAAAGCGUGGGGAGCAAACAGG
rnacentral:rRNA from 1 species